UUUUACUCUUCAAGAUGACCCUUGUGAGAAAAUCCUAAGAGAAAUCUUAAUUGAUCCCCUCUCCUCGGUUUCUCCACUCAAGGUAUUUUUCUAUACCAUUACAACUUGCAUUAAAGAGCCACUGAAACCCUUAGGAGAAGGUUUAGGGGAGUUUUUCCAAGCACUCCUCAAAGAUCUACCAAUAAUCUCCUGGAUACCAGUCCUUAUCAUUGUCCCGUUGUGCUUUCUGAUACCUCUUUCUGGAGGCAUACCAAGAGUUUUCCAGCUCUUUGUGAGACGUAUGAUACCCCUUGGGGGAGUUCUUUUACCUGAAAAUGCACAACGCCAAGAUGACAAUGUCAGGUUAGAACAAAAUGCCGUCAAUCAAACACAACCUGGAAGAGCCAUGGAAGAGCCCCGUACUGAAUGUUUAAACAGUGCCGACCUAUCAAGUGAGGAGCCUAGAGAAGCUGCGGGGAACCAGGGGGGCUCUGAAAACCAGCCUGAGGUCAAAAAAGAGAGACUUGUUACUACGCCAGACCAACCGGAAGCCAAUCAGACCAUAUUAGUGUUAGUAGAGAACAAACAAAUAAAAACACAGAGGAAAGGUUGUUAUGAUGAACCUUACAGAAGGCGUCCAACCCCUACACAUCAGCCAAUAGAAAUGCACCAUGGUUGGAUACGUUCAGAAGCCUUACCAGGAGAAGAGAGAAGCUUGCCAUCACUGAGAUUCAUGAAGGCUGAAAUUGCUUCUGCUCAACAAACAUCAGCAGUUGCACUGGAUUAAAUACAUGUUUUAUAGCAGCAGUUUAACAAUAUCUGUAUUUGUUAUAAUUUAGUUGAUUUAAUUGGACUUUCCAAGUUUACUGAAUGAGAACAAUUAGAUUGAAAAUUAGACACUGAGCAGAGCAAUUCACUGUCUGGUCUGCGGUGUUGCUAUCCUAAAAGUGUGCUGCAUUUGGGGGACUUUAUAUUUAAUCAAUUCUAGGUUUAACUGGUUUGGUUCAGGUUAUUUUAUUUUU